UACAGAGGGGGCAAGCGUUGUUCGGAAUUACUGGGCGUAAAGGGCGCGUAGGCGGCCUGCUAAGUCGAACGUGAAAUCCCUGGGCUCAACCCAGGAACUGCGUCCGAUACUGGUUGGCUUGAAUCCGGGAGAGGGAUGUGGAAUUCCAGGUGUAGCGGUGAAAUGCGUAGAUAUGCGGAGGAACACCGAUGACGAAGGCAAUCCCCUGGGCCUGCACUGACGCUCAUGCACGAAAGCGUGGGGAGCAAACAGG
rnacentral:rRNA from 1 species